rnacentral:lncRNA from 1 species
GCGUUGCUGGGGGUGGGGGUAGAGGGCAGGCAAGAAAACCAGAAGCUGUAAUCACAGCGGUGUGUUGAAAAACAAGUUCUUUGGGAAUCCAGAGGGAAGAGAGAAUUUUUGUCCCCUUCUCCGGGGGAUUUGUAGUUUUCCCAGAGGAGGCAGAGAUGCAUUAAAGUGCUGGCGAUUGAUUUAAGUUAAUUAGCAGCAAAAGUAGGUGAAAUUCCGAGAGAGCCAGCCAGAGUGGCAGGGCAGAAUGCGAAGCCCAGUUCCCUGCAGGAGAGCCCGGCCUUGCUUCCUGGGCUGCAGGAAGCUCAGGGGAGGGAGGGGAAGGGUCUGCUCCUCGGCGCGGCCUCACCUCUGAGAAACCGUCCAGAGGAAAUGGUCUGAAGCUCGGAGGAGGCGGGGCUCAGAGGAGGAGUAAGCAGGUGUCACAGAGCUGUCUCGGGAACAAACCGGGGAGGAAGAGGACGGCCCCUGCCUCCAGGGCUUGCAGCGCCGUCCAGGCCCGAGAGGAGGACUGGGAAGUGCCACGACGCCGGGAUUAGGGCAGGCCCGUGGACUGGGACCCCGGACUUCCUCACCUCCUUUCUGGGCCUUGAUUUCAGCUGAUUACAGGGAGGAGAGAAUUCAAGCUGCCCCAGAAGCUGGAAACGGUCGGAUCCUGCCACCUGCUGGCAGCUUCCGGCUCUGCCUGGGCUCCGUCUGAGCGAGGUAGUAUUCCGUCUCAGAGGGUCCUCUGAGCGCCCUAUGUCUGGCACCCCCAAAAUACUCUUCCAGUACAACCCGGGAGACGCUUUUCUCCGCAGCAGCGCCCCUUACAGCUUCUCUCAGUGCCUGGCUUCUUCCAUAAGAGUUACGGCUUGCUUGUCUUUCCUGGAGAGAAAAUAAGGAGUAGAAACCCACCUGGCAUAAAAUAGAUUAUUAUUUCUGCUAUGGCAUCUCAGCAACAUGAGGACACUUGUGUUGCUAAAAUGUUCACUUUACGGGAUGGAGACUUUGACAAGCAGUAAGCACACCCAAAAGAAGCUUAAAACCAGCCAGGGCUGGGGUGUGGGUCAGUAGCAGAGUGUUACCAUGCACGAAGCCCUGGAUUUGUUUCCCAGUACAUGCACACACUCCAAAAUCACAGAUUACUUUUCUCACAAUUUUUGUUUUUCUUAUUGUAAAAAAAAGUGUUCAUUGUGGAUAAUCAAAAAAUGAAAAAGGCUAUUUACUAAGACUGGAAUAACUUUGAGGACGUUUUUGCAUGGAUAAUAAAAGAUUCCAAGUAGAUAGCUAUUAGACACCCAAGUGGAGAAGGAAUAUCAGUUGAGACUUUGUCAUUACUUUGAUAACUUUUAAAUUUAAUUUCUGCUUGUAUAUGAAUGCAUAUAUGUACAAUAUAUAAAUACAAAAAUGUGAGUUUCUUUACAAAAACAAAAAAAUGAAAAAGCCAUACUCCUGCUAUGGUGGUUGAGUUUUAUGUGGUCAACUUACUUAGCUUGGGAGCUGCACACUUCUAGGG